rnacentral:rRNA from 1 species
GACGAACGCUGGCGGCGUGCCUAAUACAUGCAAGUCGAGCGGACUGAUUAAGAGCUUGCUCUUAUGACGUUAGCGGCGGACGGGUGAGUAACACGUGGGCAACCUGCCCUGUAGAUCGGGAUAACACCGAGAAAUCGGUGCUAAUACCGGGUAAUAUCUGAGAUCACAUGAUCUUAGGUUAAAAGAUGGCUCCGGCCAUCACUACAGGAUGGGCCCGCGGCGCAUUAGCUAGUUGGUAAGGUAAUGGCUUACCAAGGCGACGAUGCGUAGCCGACCUGAGAGGGUGAUCGGCCACACUGGGACUGAGACACGGCCCAGACUCCUACGGGAGGCAGCAGUAGGGAAUCUUCCGCAAUGGACGAAAGUCUGACGGAGCAACGCCGCGUGAGUGAUGAAGGGUUUCGGCUCGUAAAGCUCUGUUGUUAGGGAAGAAACAGUACCGAACGAACUAGGUCGGUACCUUGACGGUACCUAACCAGAAAGCCACGGCUAACUACGUG